GUUCUGGCUUCAGCAGCACAUAUACUAAAAUUGGAACAAUACAGAAAAGAUUAACAUGGCUCCUGUGCAAGGAUAACAUUAAAAUUCAUGAAGCGCUCCAUAUUUUU
ensembl:snRNA U6 U6 spliceosomal RNA